AUCCUGUGAUGUUCUAUAACUGAGGUUU
rnacentral:piRNA from 1 species